UGAAUUCAUUUAAAUUCAAAUCACCAGGAUCCAGACCUUGUGCUGGGUGCUAGAGAUACAACAGGUGGAAGAACUCCCUGCCCUCAAGCAGGGCAUGCUACUGGCACACAGGUGGAGAUGGAGAGGGACUCGGCGUCAUCACCAGAAGGUCCACUUCUGCAGCGAACUCCUUCAAAUUGGCAAAGCAAGUAGAAUCUUUCCCACCGUACAGAUGAGGAGACAGAGGCUCAGAGGUGGGGAAGUGGCUUGCCCAGGGUCUCACCUGGUGUUGCCACCAGGAUUCUUACCUGGUCUCCUCAGUCCAAGCUCGGAAGCACUAUACUCUCAUCUCCAGGCCUUUGAACAAGCUUUUCCCUAUGACUGAAAUUCAUUUUCCUCUUUACCCCAUCCCCCAAUGUUAGAAUCUCUAACUCCCUUCAAGGCACCGUCCAAGCGUAGCCUGACCCCUUCCCCUCUUCCAGUAUCAUUUGUGUGUACUUAACUAGUAAAAUGUAAGUUCCUCAAGGGCAGGGAUUGUUUCUGGUUUUUUCUUUGUGCCAUCAAUGCCCAGACUGUUGAAUAAAUGAAUGAAUAAACGAAUGAAUGAGUA